AAUUCUCAACUCUGAUUUGAUUUGUUUCUUAUCGGGGCUUGGACUUGGAGUGUGCUGGCAAUCUGGUCGGCUCCUCUCAAAUGCAUCAGCGGAAUCUAACCUUUGAUUUCCGGAAGUCGGUGUGAUAAUUAAGUUGCGCCGUCAUUCGACUUUGAAGUCCGCUUAUAAUGGUCUUCGGACAACUCUUAUAAA
rnacentral:misc_RNA from 1 species